UACAGAGGGUGCGAGCGUUGUUCGGAAUUACUGGGCGUAAAGCGCGCGCAGGCGGCCCUUUAAGUCUGUCGGUCAAACGCCGGGGCUCAACCCCGUGCUCGCCGGAGAUACUGGAGGGCUGGAGACAGGUAGAGGCAGGCGGAAUUCCUGGUGUAGCGGUGAAAUGCGCAGAUAUCAGGAAGAACACCUAUGGCGAAAGCAGCUCUCUGGGACGUUACUGACGCUGAGACGCGAAAGCGUGGGGAGCAAACAGG
rnacentral:rRNA from 1 species